CUCUCUAUAUAUAUAUAUAUAUAUAUGUAUGUAUGUAUGUAUGUAUGUAUGUAUGUAUAUAUGUGUAUAUAUAUAUAUAAGUGCUUGAUGUGGUUGGAUCUAGGUUUGGCAGCACCAUUUAGAUUACAUAAGACUAAGAUUGGAAGGUAAAGAGAGCAAGGUGAUACCGCUGCUGAUUUUUUUUUUUGGUGAAAAAAUAGUCCAAGUAUAUCUACGUUUGGCCAAGUAAUUUUAAGAAAAUACUGGUUUUAUUUGCGAAAAAUUAUACUAUUAAAUAUAUUAUUGUGUUUUUCUAGAUUUUUGAUGAAUAAAAUAAAAAAAAAGUGAGUAACAUGUGAUACGAGAAAUAUUCCAAAGUUCGAACGAGUGAAUGUUUGUAUAUUUAUUUUAUUUACUUUUGAAUGUUUGAACAAUAGCGACUUACGACUGGUACCCUGGCUGACGCCCCUUACUCCACUGGAGGCCCUGAGAUGUGGGCCGUUCAAGAAGAUAAGAUGCUGAUAGAUGAUGCCAAUAAUUUUUGAGCUUUGCUGAUAAUUCUGUGAAUAAGUUUUUUGUUUUGGGGUAGUGGAGGCAAGUUCCUUCAUCAUUGUAAAUUUCAAAUAUAUUGCAUUUAUUAUUUAUUAGUGGGUUGUUGAAAAUAAAUGUCAGAUAAACAUGUAGGGUCUUCUAAAAUUUCUAUUUAUCUUCUUGAAUUUUUUUGAUAUGUCAAAUAGUACAAUCAUAAUCGUGCAAGGUUGGUACACAGAGCGAUCCAUUAUAGGUGGAACAAAGGUUAGAUGGAUUUGCAGUAUGGCACAACCUAUGUAGAAAUGUUGGCAUUAUAGGUAUAAACAAGAAAAGAGAGUUCUUUUGAUAAAUUUGCUUACUUACCUACAUACUAUGUGUAUAAUUAUAUUUUGAAAAUUUAGUACCAAUUUGAUAUUUUUGCAAGUCAUAAUAGUUUUAAGUUGAAAAUAUAUUUAAUAUGUCUGAUUCCUAACUUUUGCAAUCUGCAGUUUUGGGCUUGCACAUAGGUUAUUGCUACAUAGCAGAGCAAUUCGCUAUUCAUUAUAGAAUGCCAUUCUUAACUUACAAUUUCAGGAGGGAAGGACCAUUGGCCUUUUUUCCCCCCUUGCAUUAUAGUCUAAUGGUAUGAGGGUGAACCUUUGGUCAAUGGUAUGGUAGCUCCAUUGUAACUUGGGGUCUUUGAAAGACAGAAACAGCCUCUUUGCAUAUGAGGCUAGGGUUGUGUGUCUGACCCACCCCAGAAUGACAGUAGCCUUGUGCAUUGUGCAUUGGGCUGCCUGUUAUGAUCUAAUGAUCUACUCAAAUUAUAACUUUAGGACAAAAGACAAAUUUUGGAUUGUAUGCUCAAUGUAUAGACCUUAAAGGUUUAAAUAUUACAUCUUAAAUCACAGAACGAGGCUUAUAGAAAAAGGAAAAACGAUUAUAU